rnacentral:rRNA from 1 species
AUUGAACGCUGGCGGCAUGCCUAACACAUGCAAGUCGAACGGUAACGCACAACUUGCUGGCUCGUACUGGGGCCAAGGGGCGUACUACACGGGAAUACCCCGGACUUUACUCUUUCAUGAGGCAGAACGUCUGGGAAUAUUCCCUAAUACCGCCGACUACCGCCGGGUGAAAGCAGGGCAUCUUCAGCCCUUGCGGGUGGACUUGAGCCGAUGUCGUAUUUGGUAGUUGGGGGGGUAAAGGCCCACCACGGCGACUAGCCGGAGCUGGUGUGAGAGGAUGAUAAGCCACACUGGAAAGUAGACACGGUCCAGACUCCUAAGGGAGGCAGCAGUGGGGAAUAUUGGACAAAGGGCGCAAGCCUGAUCCAGCCAUACCGAGUGGGUGAAGAAGGCCUUCGGGUUGUAAAGUCCUUUUGUUGGGAAAGAAAAGCAUUCGGUUAAUACAGAGCGGUAAUGACGGUACCGGAAGAAUAAGCACCGGCUAACUACGUG